rnacentral:rRNA from 1 species
UACGGAGGGUGCAAGCGUUACCCGGAAUCACUGGGCGUAAAGGGCGUGUAGGCGGACCCGUAAGUCCGUUUUAAAAGACCGCCGCUCAACGGCGGGCGUGGGCUGGGUACUGUGGGUCUGGACCUCUGGAGAGAGAACUGGAAUUCCUGGUGUAGCGGUGGAAUGCGUAGAUACCAGGAGGAACACCGAUGGCGAAGGCAGGUUCUUGGACAGAAGGUGACGCUGAGGCGCGAAAGUGUGGGGAGCGAACCGG